rnacentral:rRNA from 1 species
AUAUCAGUCAUGCAUAGCAUAUCAAUAAGCGGAGGAAAAGAAACUAACAAGGAUUCCCUUAGUAACGGCGAGUGAAGCGGGAAGAGCUCAAAUUUGAAAUCUUCAAGGUUUUACCUUGACGAAUUGUAGUUUAAAGAAGUGUUUUCUGUUGAAGUUUUGGUAAAAGUUCUUUGGAAUAGGACAUCAUAGAGGGUGAGAAUCCCGUAUUUGACCAUUACUUUCAGCUCUGUGAUACACUUUCAAAGAGUCGGAUUGUUUGGGAAUGCAGUCCAAAAUGGGUGGUAAAUUUCAUCUAAAGCUAAAUAUUGGCGAGAGACCGAUAGCGAACAAGUACCGUGAGGGAAAGAUGAAAAGAACUUUGAAAAGAGAGUUAAACAGUACGUGAAAUUGUCAAAAGGGAAGCGUUUGGCACCAGUGUUGUUUUCUCGAAAAUCAAUUAAAAAGAGUUGGAUUUUGUGUUGUAUUGACUUUAUCAGCUUUCUUCACUCUUUUCCAGCUUUUUUUAAUGCACUUUUCGUUUAACAAGUCAACAUCAGUUUCUUUUGUUGUAAAAAGGUCAUUGGAAGGUGGCUUUCUCUUCGGAGAAAGUGUUUAUAGCCUUUGACUCAUGCAAUCGGAGAGACUGAGGUCUGCAGCGUAGAUCCUUCGGGGUUAGAUACAUUUGUGCUAAGUUAUAGCUUUUCAUAGACAACUUGUUGACUAUGUUUAGUCUUGUAGCUUACUCGCUUAUGCUAUUUUACCUACGCUUAGGAUGUUGAACUCUAUCACACACAG